GUUGCCCUCCAAGCUCUGAGAUGGAAAAAUGUAUGUGUAGGACUUCUAAACAACUAAAAUAUAUCAAAUGACGAAGUACUGAGCUGAUUUGGAAAGCUUUUUGAGCUAGUAGAAAUGGUGAAAAAAAAAAUUGCAUUUUUUUUUUCAAAAAGGAACAACAAUGGAGGCAAUGAUGAAGAAUGUAGAUUUUCAGUUGUGAUGAACAAUUUUUCGUUGGAAAAAUGGCCGAAAAAAUCGCCGGAAUCGAAAAUUAUUGGUGAAAAAAGAAGCUCCUAUUGAUGGCUUCUUGGACAAUUUUCUAAAUUAAAAUAGGAAAUAUGAAAAAAUUGUGGGAAUAUAAAAAAAGGUGGGAAAUAUUAAAUAUUAAAUAGAUGAGGUGAGGGACUAAAGUGUAAAGUUUAAAACUUGUGUGGUUGGUUUGAAUGAAAGAAUGGAUGAUGUCAUAAAUUUAUAAACACCUAAUUUUCCAAGUUUCUAAAUGUUAAAAUAAGUUUUGAAAGUGUCUAUUUACCCAACUCUCCCCAGUUUUUCCGUUCUCCUCAAGUAACAAAUCUGAGAUGGGAUGGACUUAAUUUUGUACUGGAUGUAUUGUGCACACGGAGCUGUAGAUACUGUCAUGGGUCCACACACCAUUCAACAUGAAACUGUUGUUGUAAAGGCAGCUACAGCUCCUGCAUUCACUACAAGCGGUGUAGGUUCUGAUGCUUGCAGUGUCCACACAACCAUUCCAAGAUAUGAUGUAUGGUUAUGGUCUUAUUUCAUAUCAUGAAGCAAGGAGAAGUCAAGUCCGUGCCAAAGUUGUCAAGGUUGUUGGACGAUAGCAGAAAUGGGAGGGGCAAUGGAGGUCCUUCCUAUAAGUCAAAUAACAUUUUAUCAAUGUCAAGAUCGAUUUUUCCUUGGUAACAUCUUGUAAAUUACUCUUUUAAGAGGUGUUGAUCUCUAACUGAUAUUUUUCUUUAUUCAUUGUUGACUGUGUGUAAUGUGUCGCUAGCAUAAAGAAAUUUCAAGAAAUUUAAGAAUAACAUAAGUUAAUCAUUGUUGUUGAA